rnacentral:rRNA from 1 species
AUACGAAGGGUGCAAGCGUUAAUCGGAAUUACUGGGCGUAAAGCGCGCGUAGGUGGUUCAGCAAGUCAGAAGUGAAAUCUCCGGGCUUAACCCGGAAACUGCUUUUGAAACUGUCGCCCUUGAGUAUCGGAGAGGCAGGCGGAAUUUCUAGUGUAGAGGUGAAAUGCGUAGAUAUUAGGAGGAACACCAGUGGCGAAGGCGGCCUGCUGGACGACAACUGACGCUGAGGCGCGAAAGCGUGGGGAGCAAACAGGAUUAGAUACCCUGGUAGUCCACGCGGUAAACGAUGAAUGCUAGGUAUUGGGCUCCAUAGGGGUUCGGUGCCGCAGUUAACGCAAUAAGCAUUCCACCUGGGGAGUACGUUCGCAAGAAUGAAACUCAAAUGAAUUGGCGGGG